UUGCUUCUCUUGAGAGCGGCGGACGGGUGAGUAAUGCCUAGGAAUCUGCCUGGUAGUGGGGGAUAACGUUCGGAAACGGACGCUAAUACCGCAUACGUCCUACGGGAGAAAGCAGGGGACCUUCGGGCCUUGAAAAUAUCAGAUGAGCCUAGGUCGGAUUAGCUAGUUGGUGGGGUAAUGGCUCACCAAGGCUACGAUCCGUAACUGGUCUGAGAGGAUGAUCAGUCACACUGGAACUGAGACACGGUCCAGACUCCUACGGGAGGCAGCAGUGGGGAAUAUUGGACAAUGGGCGAAAGCCUGAUCCAGCCAUGCCGCGUGUGUGAAGAAGGUCUUCGGAUUGUAAAGCACUUUAAGUUGGGAGGAAGGGUUGUAGAUUAAUACUCUGCAAUUUUGACGUUACCGACAGAAUAAGCACCGGCUAACUCUGUGCCAGCAGCCGCGGUAAUACAGAGGGUGCAAGCGUUAAUCGGAAUUACUGGGCGUAAAGCGCGCGUAGGUGGUUUGUUAAGUUGGAUGUGAAAUCCCCGGGCUCACCCUGGGAACUGCAUUCAAAACUGACUGACUAGAGUAUGGUAGAGGGUGGUGGAAUUUCCUGUGUAGCGGUG
rnacentral:rRNA from 1 species